AGCAGCCGCGGUAAUUCCAGCUCCAAUAGCGUAUAUUAAAGUUGUUGCAGUUAAAAAGCUCGUAGUUGAAUUUCGAGAUCAGUACGCUGGUCGUGCCUUCGGUAUGUACUGGUGUCACUGGUUUCUCCCUUCUGAAGAACCGUUAUGUCAUUAAGUUGGUGUGGCGGGGAAUCAGGACUGUUACUUUGAAAAAUUAGAGUGUUUAAAGCAGGCUCGCGCUUGAAUACAUUAGCAUGGAAUAAUGAAAUAGGACGUUUGACCCUAUUUUGUUGGUUUCUAGGAUCGACGUAAUGAUUAAUAGGGAUAGUUGGGGGCAUUAGUAUUCAAUUGUCAGAGGUGAAAUUCUUGGAUUUAUUGAAGACUAACUACUGCGAAAGCAUUUGCCAAGGAUGUUUUCAUUAAUCAAGAACGAAAGUUAGGGGAUCGAAGACGAUCAGAUACCGUCGUAGUCUUAACCAUAAACUAUGCCGACUAGGGAUCGGGAUGAUUGUUUAAUUUUUUAAUGUACUCUA
rnacentral:rRNA from 1 species